rnacentral:rRNA from 1 species
UACGCAGGGGGCUAGCGUUGCUCGGAAUUACUGGGCGUCAAGCGCACGUAGGCGGAUUGUUAAGUCGGGGGUGAAAUCCUGGAGCUCAACUCCAGAACUGCCUUCGAUACUGGCGAUCUCGAGUUCGGGAGAGGUGAGUGGAACUGCGAGUGUAGAGGUGAAAUUCGUAGAUAUUCGCAAGAACACCAGUGGCGAAGGCGGCUCACUGGCCCGAUACUGACGCUGAGGUGCGAAAGCGUGGGGAGCAAACAGG